rnacentral:rRNA from 1 species
CCCUUAGAUGUUCUGGGCCGCACACGCGUUACACUGAUGCAUUCAACGAGCUUAUAACCUUGGCCGAGAGGCCUGGGCAAUCUUGUUAACGUGCAUCGUGAUAGGGAUAGAUUAUUGAAAUUAUUAAUCUUGAACGAGGAAUUCCUAGUAAACGCAGAUCAUCAAUCUGCAUUGAUUACGUCCCUGCCCUUUGUACACACCGCCCGUCGCACCUACCGAUUGGAUGGUCCGGUGAAGCCUCGGGAUUGUGGUUCUUGCCGCUUUAUUGUGGCGUGACCGCGAGAACUUGUCUAAACCUUAUCAUCUAGAGGAAGGUGAAGUCGUAACA